AGGAAAAGAGAUGUCAACCUCAAGUGUACAAGGAAAGCAGGAGAAGCUGACAAAGAUGAGGAGGCUUUUCACCACCCUCGUUUGCACGCAGAUGACAAAGUUACGAAAGCGAGAGAAACUUUGGCCCCAUAGUUGACUCCAGCAUGCUAGGUUGUUGAAUGUUGACAGCUGAAUAAUUUAUGGCGUGCAUCUUCGAGAAAUUCUUUGGCCCUUUCCCUUGCUAGUAUUGGUUCUUUCUGCCCUGUCACCGACUCACCUGCCAAAGUCAUGGGUUUAACUCAUCAAAUGCUAACAAGUGAGAGCAAACCACGGAAAACAUGGUAGUGGUGAACAACUCUUGCGCUCUCCUCCUACUACUCCUCGUUGCUGGAAACGAGGCCAUCACAUUCACCAUUGUCAACCCAUGCCCGUACAACGUGUGGCCAGCCGCUGUGCCGGUGGGCGGCGGCAGGCGGCUCGACCCAGGGCAGGUGUGGUCGCUGGACGUGCCCGCUGGCACCAUGAGCGGUCGCAUCUGGGCACGCACAGGCUGCUCGUUCGACGGCACCGGGAACGGCUCAUGCCAAACAGGUGGCUGCGGUGGCGUGCUCUCCUGCACAGCCUUUGGCCAGCCGCCAGUCACACUGGCCGAGUUAACAAUUGGAAUUGGCCAAACGAGUGACUACUUUGACAUCUCUGUCAUUGAUGGCUUCAACGUGCCCAUGGAGUUCCUGCCAGUGCCGGUGAAGGGAGAGCAAGGGUGCAGCAAGGGACCGCGCUGCGCAACGAACAUCACGUCGCAGUGCCCGAGCGAGAUGAAGGCGCCGGGGGGCUGCAAUAACUUGUGCACCGGGAACAGGUCUUCAAGAAAUUGCACCUACUCAGGCUUCUUUAAGCGGAUGUGCCCGGAGGCUUACAGCCUCCUGACUGAUUCUGCCAUGUUCACUUGCCCGACGGGAACCAACCAACUACCAGAUCGUCUUCUGUCCCCUGAUCAAUCUAGCAGUUCCGCCUGCAACUGUUGGGCCAAGAAGGACAAAACCCAUAACCAUAAACAGAGUUGUUGUGAUUUUACCUACUGAAGGCGGCUUUCUUUUGCUCACCAUGCUGUCCAUAACCAUUUUCUACAUAUGCCAACGAAGAACACAACGAGAACAGGAGAUGGAGGAAGAGUUUGGGGAUCUACAAGGAAUGCCAAUGAGGUUCACAUUCCAACAGCUAAAAGUAGCAACAGAGAAAUUCAAAGACAAGCUUGGGGAAGGAGGUUUUGGGUCUGUUUUCAAGGGACAAUUUGGUGAGGAAACAAUUGCAGUUAAACGUUUGGAUCUAGCUGGUCAGGGUAAAAGGGAAUUUUCGGCAGAGGUUCAGACAAUUGGCAGCAUCCAUCAUAUAAAUCUGGUAAGGUUGAUCGGUUUCUGUGCAGAAAAAUCCCAUAGGCUCUUGGUAUAUGAGUAUAUGCCCAAAGGAUCCUUGGACAGGUGGAUCUAUUGCCGAGAUGACGAUAAUGCUCCUCCUCUGGAUUGGAACAUGCGUUACAAGAUUAUUACUCACAUAGCUAAGGUUCUCUCUUAUCUUCAUGAGGAUUGCACAAAAAGAAUUGCUCAUUUGGAUGUCAAACCACAAAAUAUCCUCUUAGACGAUAACUUCAAUGCAAAACUUUCAGAUUUUGGACUAUGCAAGCUCAUUGAUCGAGAUAUGAGCCAAGUGGUUACUAAAAUGAGAGGCACACCUGGAUAUUUAGCUCCUGAAUGGUUGACAUCACAAAUCACGGAAAAGGCUGAUGUCUACAGCUUUGGCGUAGUGGUCAUGGAAAUCAUCAGUGGAAGAAAGAACAUCGACACUUCCCAGCCGGAAGAGAGCAUCCAUCUUAUUACCCUACUGGACGAAAAGGUGAAGAGUGAUCAGUUGGUAGAUUUGAUUGAUGACCACAGUAACAACAUGCAAGUACACAAGCAAGAAGCAAUUCAGAUGAUGAAGCUCGCGAUGUGGUGUCUGCAGAUUGAUUGCAAAAGAAGGCCCAAAAUGUGUGAGGUCGUCAAAGUCUUGGAAGGUACCAUGGAUGCAGAGACCAACAUGGAUCAUAACUUUGUGCGUCUCUUUCCCCCAAAUCCACAUCACCACAUGACUGAGGAGGGCGGCGGAACGCGCCGCCGCGGCAGCUCGCCGGCGGCGCCUGCCUCCCUGCCGGACGACGAGGACCUCCUCCGUGAGAUCCUCCUCCGCCUCCCGCCGCAGCCAUCCUCCCUCGUGCGCGCCUCCGCCGUCUGCAAGCGGUGGCGACGGCUCGCCACCGACCCCAAGUUUCUCAAUUGCUUCCGAGCCCACCACCGGAAGCCGCUACUCCUCGGCUACUUCGGGCUCGGCGAAGAUGAUAGCAUCGUGUUCAACCCCGUCCUGGACCCUCCCGACCGCAUCCCACCUGAGCGCUUCUCCCUUCGCAGCUACAGCCGCCGCCACCGCGAGAACUAUGUGCUCGGGUGCCGCCACGGUCUCGUCCUCGUCAAAUGCCGGUCGCGGAAAGAGGUCGCUGUGUGCGAACCCAUCUCCGGCGAGCAGCGUCACGUGGCCGUUCCACUGGAGUUGCAGACGGGCUCUAUCUCUCUCAACGGGGCGGUGUUAUGUGCCGCCAGCGACCACGGCCAUGUGCACGGCGGCUGCCACUCGAGCCCCUUUAAGGUGGUCCUGGUGUCCAUUUCCCUUGAUAAUCGACCCCUCGCCUGCGUUUACUCUUCGGAGACUGGUAUAUGGGGCAAUCUCAUCUCAACAGCGGCACCAUGUAUGCUAGAUGAUUCUGGCUUUCCUAGUACCCUUGUUGGUAAUGCCCUUUAUUGGUUGGAUUCGAGCAAUGGUAUACUUGAGUUUGAUUUGGAUGGAGAGAGCCUGUCUGUGAUCACGGGGCCUCCCACUAUAGAUGAUUUACCCAAUGACGGAAUUCAGAUAAUCCAGGCUGAAGAAGGUGAUGUUUGCUUGGUCAUAUUUUAUUACCCUAGCAUCCAAAUAUGGCAGAGGAAGGUCAAUUGUCAUGGUGUUGCCACCUGGUUGCUGCGCAAGAGUGUUGAUAUGCAUAAUAUUAUUGGGCUUCAUCCUCAGAUUGAGGGAUGGGUCGGAGGAUAUAUACUGGGAUAUGUUGAGGAUAUCGAUGUCAUUUUUAUAUGUAUUGACUCCAACUUCUACAUGGUUCAACUUAAGUCAAUGCAAUUCAAGAGACUACAUCGAAUUGAAUAUAUCGUUUACUGCUAUCCUUUCACAAGCUUUUAUACACCAGGCAUAGCGAAUGCUGGUGGAUGUGAUGGAUCUGAAAUGUUGGAUCAUGCAUAAGAUGGCUGUCUGGUUUGAUGUGCUAAUGUGCUGACAUCGUUUGACCGGUGAAGGAAAUGCUGCGGGAGUUCUCUUUGAGUUUGUCACAUUUCAUCAAUAUGGUCGGCAGUUGGCAUAUCUGUUAUCUGAAAAAAAAAAGACUUGCUAAGUGUGUGUACUUUAGUCUAGCUAAGUUUCUUACGGAUCAGGAUGUACUUGGAUACCGAAACCAGAGUUCUAAUUUCUCAUAGUAAUGUUUCAAUUUUAUUUCCGCCUUA